rnacentral:tRNA from 1 species
AUUUUCUUAGUAUAACUAGUAUAAGUGGCUUCCAACCACCCGGCCCUGGUUCAAACCCGGGAGAAAAUA